ensembl:snoRNA U3 Small nucleolar RNA U3
AGCUGCAUGCUGAGGGGUCAUGUCUACAGCAUAUUACUAAGGAGUUGCACUGAUUGUGCAAGUACCAGAAGCCAUGCAAAGGAGGCAAAGUAUUCCUUUCUAGCUGUGAAACUGGCUCUUGCUGCUGCUUUGCUGAAGCUGCCAGUUGCCAGUGAUGAUCAUUCUUACUUCCUCCUUAAAGGGGGUAUGAGGCAGAGAACACAGUCUGGGUAGC